rnacentral:lncRNA from 1 species
AGGGGUCACGGGCGCCUGGCAGGAUGGUCAGGGCCUCUGAGCACCGCUUCAGGAGAGCGGCCUGAGGAACUCCAGUGAGGAAAGCCCGUCAAGAGCCCACCCAGGGGUCACACCGUCCUGUGGGACAGAGCCAGACCCCACCCCCCUGCCCAGCCUGCCUGGCCGCUGCCCUCCCGGCGACAGGGCGGAGCCCCUCCGUGCUCUCUCACUGCCCGCUCCACCAUGGCCAGGCGCAAACGCAAACAGUGCUGGGUGCCAAGGGGAGAAUCCAUGCGGAGCCGUCGAGUUCCAUGCACUUCCCGGCCCUCCGCAACCCGGGCAGCUCAGCUGGAAGGCCGCUCCCAGAUCAAUCCCAGCUCCCCGACAGGGGGGCCGGACUGCGACAGUGUGGCGUUCCCAGCGCGGCAACAAAAGUAACCCCGGCGAUGACAGGCGCCCGGCGGUAACAAAAGUAACAAGCGGAGGCCCCGUCGGCCCGCCCCGGGCUCCCGCAGAUUGGGGUUCAGUCGGCACCUUCUACAUGACAUGGUGGAGUGUGCAUUACAUAAAGCCCCCAGGUUACAGACAGGACCCCUGGGGCCAGGAGAGGUGGGUGCCUUGUGAUCUGCGUCAUGGUGAGGAGGACUUCAGGGACAGAUGGCCAGGGAUGUUCCCAGGUGGUGGAGGAGGCUCCACUGGCAGAGAAGCAACGUCAAGCUGAAGACAUUGGGGUGCGAUGGCUGGCCAGGACAGCUUGUCUCCUCGUCCGCACACGGAACGCUGGAUUUCACUCUGUGACCCAGCCAGCGGUCUCAUCUCACAGCCGCAGCUUUCAGCAGGAAGGAGCCCACUGGUGCCUGCCUGACCUACGAGGGCCCGCACCGUUUUGCCCUCCUAACAUUUUGUAUUUGAAGUGCUUGUCACAGUCCACAAAAUAACCACUCAGAAUCUGUUACUAUUUUGUUUAUAUGUUGUAUCAAGUGAAUGUUAAUAAGUCAUCUAAGUGUAUGCUUUAGUUAUAAAUCUUGGAAAAAUAAAAACUUCCUUUUGGAGGAAAAGUGAA